AAGCUCGUAGUUGAAUUUCGGGAUUAGUGCGCCGGUCGUGCCUUCGGUAUGUACUGGUGUUACUGGUUCCUACCUUCUGACGAACCGUCAUGUCAUUAAUUUGGUGUGGCGGGGAAUCAGGACUGUUACUUUGAAAAAAUUAGAGUGUUUAAAGCAGGCUCGCGCUUGAAUACAUUAGCAUGGAAUAAUGAAAUAGGACGUUCGAUCCUAUUUUGUUGGUUUCUAGGAUUGACGUAAUGAUUAAUAGGGAUAGUUGGGGGCAUUAGUAUUCAAUUGUCAGAGGUGAAAUUCUUGGAUUUAUUGAAGACUAACUACUGCGAAAGCAUUUGCCAAGGAUGUUUUUAUUAAUCAAGAACGAAAGUUAGGGGAUCGAAGACGAUCAGAUACCGUCGUAGUCUUAACCAUAAACUAUGCCGACUAGGGAUCGGAUGAUGUUAUUUUUAAUGACUCAUUCGGCGCCUUACGGGAAACCAAAGUGUUUGGGUUCCGGGGGGAGUAUGGUCGCAAGGCUGAAACUUAAAGGAAUUGACGGAAGGGCACCACCAGGGGUGGAGCCUGCGGCUUAAUUUGACUCAACACGGGGAAA
rnacentral:rRNA from 1 species